UCGCCCUGUUUUACAAAAACAUGUCUGUACGGAGGAAGUGUAGAGUCUGGCCUGCCCACUGAAAGUUUUUAAAGGGCCGCGGUAAUUUGACCGUGCGAAGGUAGCAUAAUCAAUAGUCUCUUAAUUGGAGGCUGGAAUGAAUGGUCGUACAAAAAAUAGCCUGUCUUGGCUGUAGAGAUAGAAUUUUACUUUUGAGUGAAAAGGCUCAAAUAUAUUAAAGGGACGAUAAGACCCUAUAAAACUUUAUAUAAAAGAAUUAAUUUUUGAAUUUAGUGUUAAAGUGGAUUAGUUUUUAUUUAUUAUGUUGGGGCGACAAGAAUAUAAAAUAAGUAACUGUUUAAUAAUUUAAAUAAAUAUAUUUAGAGGAGUGAUCCUUUUUUAGGGAUUAGAAGAAAAAGUUACUUUAGGGAUAACAGCGUAAUUUUUUCUGAGAGUUCUUAUCGACGAAAGUAGUUGCGACCUCGAUGUUGAAUUAAGAUUUCCUUAAGGUGUAGAAGUUUUAAUGGUAGGUCUGUUCGACCUUUAAAAUCUUACAUGAUCUGAGUUCAU
rnacentral:rRNA from 1 species